UUAGGGAGACCACCCACUCAGGCUUACGGAAGUAAGGAUUGAGCUGGUCAACCAGGUCGUGCGAGUAGGUUGAAUGAUGGUUGCUAUCAAGCUAGGGUUUAGGAAAUGGGCUAUUAGCUCAGGUGGUUAGAGCGCACCCCUGAUAAGGGUGAGGUCCCUGGUUCGAGUCCAGGAUGGCCCACCUUGGGGGUAUAGCUCAGUUGGUAGAGCGCCUGCCUUGCACGCAGGAAGUCAGCGGUUCGAGUCCGCUUACCUCCACUGAGUGAGAACUCAGCCAAAGGUGGAAAUUAGAUUCAGCACUGUACAUUUCCUGAAUUAACAGAGUGAAGUACACCUGCUGGGUUGUAAUCCAGUAAGGACCCUUGAAAACUGCAUAGAGAAAGAGAAAGUAGGUAGGAACGUUAUCAAGCG
rnacentral:tRNA from 1 species